GGCAGCAGUGGGGAAUAUUGCACAAUGGGCGCAAGCCUGAUGCGGCCAUGCCGCGUGAAUGAAGAAGGCCUUCGGAUUGUAAACUUCUUUCAAUCAGGAAGAAAGGUUUUAGGGUUAUUACCUUUUUGAUUUGACUGACCCCCAUAAGAAACUCCUGCUUACUUCCUGGCCACCACCCCGGUAAUACCGAAGGAGGCAGCGUUUGUCCGAAUUACUGGGCGUAAAGCGCACCCUAGGCGGUUGUUCAAUCCGAUGGUAAAUCCUUCGGGUUUACCUGGGAACUGGCUUUUAAACUGGGAUAAUUUAGUCUCGUAAAAGGAGGGUGAAUUUCCUGUGGUACCGUGAAAAUGUUAAAAAUUCGGGAAAAACACCGUUGGCAAAGGCGGCUUUCGGGGCAGUACUGGACAUUGAGGUGCAAAAGCUGGGGAACCAAACAGGAUUAAAUACCCUGGUAGUCACGCCCGUAAACGAUGGGAACUAGAUGUUGCGCCCUGUCGACCCCUGCUGUGCCGUAAUUAACGCAUUAUCGUGCCCCGCCUGGAGAGUAUGGUCGCAGGGCUGAAACUCAUGAUGAAUUGACAG
rnacentral:rRNA from 1 species